GAUGAAGAACGCAGCGAAAUGCGAUAAGUAAUGUGAAUUGCAGAAUUCAGUGAAUCAUCGAAUCUUAGAACGCACAUUGCGCCCGCCAGUAUUCUGGCGGGCAUGCCUGUCUGAGCGUCAUUUCAACCCUCAUGCCCCUAGGGCGUGGUGUUGGGGAUCGGCCAAAGCCCGCGAGGGACGGCCGGCCCCUAAAUCUAGUGGCGGACCCGUCGUGGCCUCCUCUGCGAAGUAGUGAUAUUCCGCAUCGGAGAGCGACGAGCCCCUGCCGUUAAACCCCCAACUUUCCAAGGUUGACCUCAGAUCAGGUAGGAAUACCCGCUGAACUUAAGCAUAUCAAUAGCGGAGGA
rnacentral:misc_RNA from 1 species